rnacentral:lncRNA from 10 species
CAGAGAGACGAGAAGAUAAACAGGAAUGCAAGAGGAAAGCAUCCUAAGGAGGAGGAUUUGGCGGGACCUAACAAGACCACAGUGCAUUGACCCUUUGGCCCAGCAAUGUCACUUCUAGGACUUCAUCUUGAAAAUCCACCUCCAGAAAUGCAAAGCAUCAUAGGCAGAAGAUCAUUCACUGUGGCUUCAUACGUAAUAGCACAAUAUUACAAAAAAUAAAAAUGCUGAUUUGUAGAAGAUUGGUUAAAUAAAUUAUGAUAUAUCAGCGCUGUUUUUUUACAAAAGGAAUGAGGAAUAUCUGUAUUCAUUGAUAUGUAGUGACUUUGAGGAUAUACUAUUUAAAUUAAAAACUAAGCACUACACACAUACAUUCAUAUAUAUAUAUGUAUACAUCUGCAGAUUUUGUACAAAUAAAGGG